UGCCCGAUGAGUUGAGGUGGAACAGU
rnacentral:piRNA from 1 species